AGCAGCCGCGGUAAUUCCAGCUCCAAUAGCGUAUAUUAAAGUUGUUGCAGUUAAAAAGCUCGUAGUUGAAUUUCGGGACUAAUAUGUCGGUCGUGCCUCGGUACGUACUGGUUUAUUGGUUUCUCCUUUCUGAAGAACCAUGAUGUCAUUUAUUUGGUGUCGUGGGGAAUCAGGACUGUUACUUUGAAAAAAUUAGAGUGUUUAAAGCAGGCUCACGCUUGAAUACAUUAGCAUGGAAUAAUGAAAUAGGACGUUUGAUUCUAUUUUGUUGGUUUCUAGGAUCGACGUAAUGAUUAAUAGGGAUAGUUGGGGGCAUUAGUAUUCAAUUGUCAGAGGUGAAAUUCUUGGAUUUAUUGAAGACUAACUACUGCGAAAGCAUUUGCCAAGGAUGUUUUCAUUAAUCAAGAACGAAAGUUAGGGGAUCGAAGACGAUCAGAUACCGUCGUAGUCUUAACCAUAAACUAUGCCGACUAGGGAUCGGAUGAUGUUAAUUUUUUAAUGACUC
rnacentral:rRNA from 1 species